rnacentral:rRNA from 1 species
UGGAUAACCUACCUAUAAGACUGGGAUAACUUCGGGAAACCGGAGCUAAUACCGGAUAACAUGUUGAACCGCAUGGUUCAACAGUGAAAGACGGUCUUGCUGUCACUUAUAGAUGGAUCCGCGCCGCAUUAGCUAGUUGGUAAGGUAACGGCUUACCAAGGCAACGAUGCGUAGCCGACCUGAGAGGGUGAUCGGCCACACUGGAACUGAGACACGGUCCAG